rnacentral:rRNA from 1 species
UACGUAGGGUGCAAGCGUUUGUCCGGAAUUAUUGGGCGUAAAGAGCUCGUAGGCGGUCUGUCGCGUCGGCUGUGAAACCCGGAGCUCAACUCCGGGCCUGCAGUCGAUACGGGCAAACUGGAGUACUGCAGGGGAGACUGGAAUUCCUGGUGUAGCGGUGAAAUGCGCAGACUAUCAGGAGGAACACCGGUGGCGAAGGCGGGUCUCUGGGCAGUAACUGACGCUGGAGGAGCGAAAGCGUGGGGAGCGAACAGG